rnacentral:rRNA from 1 species
GGGCAACCCGAUCUUAAUGAUCAUCAUCUUUUUGAAUUCAUAGAUUAGAUGAAGCAAACGCUGUGAACUGAAACAUCUAAGUAGCAGUAGGAAAGUAAAGAAAUUUCGAUUCCGUCAGUAGCGGCGAGCGAACGCGGAAGAGCCCAAACCUGGAUGCUUGCAUCCAGGGGUUGUAGGACUGAUGUUGAGUUACAAAGGUAUAAGAUAGCAGAAACAGUUGGGAAGCUGUUCCAAAGAGGGUGACAGGCCCGUAUGCGAAAUCUUGUACUCUCUAAUAAGGAUCCUGAGUACGGCCCAGCACGUGAAAUUGGGUCGGAAUCUGGGAGGACCAUCUCCCAAGGCUAAAUACUAACUAGUGACCGAUAGCGAACAAGUACCGUGAGGGAAAGGUGAAAAGAACCCCGGAAGGGGAGUGAAAUAGUUCUUGAAACCGUGUGCUUACAAGAAGUUCGAGGCCGUUAAUGGCUUAGAGCGU